GGAGAAAGGACGGGGCCUUGGGCGCCUCUGAGAUGCUCCCAAGUGCCAGGGAGGGCCGAGCGAGGCGCAGGCAACCGGGCAGCAGGCAUGAUGCCCUCGCCUAGUGACUCCAGCCGCUCGCUGACCAGCCGGCCCAGCACCAGGGGCCUUACCCACCUCCGCCUCCACCGACCCUGGCUGCAGGCCCUGCUUACGCUGGGGCUGGUCCAAGUGCUCCUGGGCAUCCUGGUGGUCACCUUCAGCAUGGUGGCCUCUUCCGUCACCACCACCGAGAGCAUCAAGAGGUCCUGCCCGUCUUGGGCUGGGUUCUCGCUGGCGUUCUCCGGGGUGGUUGGCAUUGUGUCCUGGAAGCGGCCAUUCACUCUAGUGAACCUGCUCUUCAGCGUCUGUGGGCUCACCAUUUGUGCCGCUAUAAUCUGUACACUCUCUGCUAUUGUCUGCUGCAUCCAAAUCUUCUCCCUGGACCUCGUGCAUACGCUGGCCCCUGAGCGGUCAGUCUCAGGCCCACUGGGACCUCUGGGCUGCACGUCCCCGCCCCCAGCCCCUCUCCUACACACCAUGCUGGACCUGGAGGAAUUUGUCCCGCCUGUGCCCCCACCGCCCUACUAUCCCCCAGAGUAUACCUGCAGCUCAGAAACAGAUGCACAGAGCAUCACGUACAAUGGCUCCAUGGACAGCCCAGUGCCCUUGUACCCUACCGAUUGCCCCCCUUCUUAUGAGGCAGUCAUGGGACUACGAGGAGACAGCCAGGCCACUCUCUUUGACCCUCAGCUUCACGAUGGCUCGUGCAUCUGUGAACGAGUGGCCUCCAUUGUAGACGUGUCCAUGGACAGCGGGUCUCUGGUGCUGUCAGCCAUUGGUGACCUCCCUGGGGGCUCUAGCCCGUCGGAGGACUCGUGCCUGCUGGAGCUGCAGGGCUCCGUGCGCUCCGUGGACUACGUUCUCUUU
rnacentral:misc_RNA from 1 species